rnacentral:rRNA from 1 species
GACGAACGCUGGCGGCGUGCUUAACACAUGCAAGUCGAACGGAAAGGCCCUGCCUUUGUGGGGUGCUCGAGUGGCGAACGGGUGAGUAACACGUGAGUAACCUGCCCAUGACUCUGGGAUAACUUCAGGAAACUGGGGCUAAUACCGGAUAGGAGCUACUCCUGCAUGGUGGGGGUUGGAAAGUUUCGGUGGUUGGGGAUGGACCCCCGGCUUUUCAGCUUGUUGGUGGGGUAGUGGCUUACCAAGGCUUUGACGGGUAGCCGGCCUGAGAGGGUGACCGGCCACACUGGGACUGAGAUACGGCCCAGACUCCUACGGGAGGCAGCAGUGGGGAAUAUUGCACAAUGGGCGGAAGCCUGAUGCAGCAACGCCGCGUGCGGGAUGACGGCCUUCGGGUUGUAAACCGCUUUCGCCUGUGACGAAGCGUGAGUGACGGUAAUGGGUAAAGAAGCACCGGCUAACUACGUG